UUUUAGCAAUUGCAAGUUUCCAAAUACAUGCAAAGUUAAAUAAGUAAAGAAAACUUUUCAUGUAACUGUUGGCGACAUAGCCCGUGUAUUAAAGUCCUCUGUCACAGUUGACUCAGCAAGAGUAAGCUUGACUGAAGACAUUUACACACUUUUACAUUAUGAAAUACACAAGUUAGCAGUUCCUCGCCCACUGCCACCCAAAUACAGGUUGGCAUCAGAUUACAAUUAGCAAACAUAAAGCCAUUUGCUUAAAGAUUUCACCAUAAAAGAUAAAAACAAGGUCAGCAUAAACUUAGCAACCUCAGGCAUUUUUAGGUUUUUGCUUCGUUAGGGUUAGAGUUAGGUACAAUAAUGUAUUGAAAUCAAUUAAUAAUUAAAUAAGGAAUGUGUUUUUAGAUACUAAAGUUAAACACUUAAUAAGGUACUUGCCGCAUUAACUUGCAAAAGGCU